rnacentral:rRNA from 1 species
CACAUGUGACCGAGUUUGAUCAUGGCUCAGAACGAACGCUGGCGGCAUGCCUAACACAUGCAAGUCGAACGAACCCUUCGGGGUGAGUGGCGCACGGGUGCGUAACGCGUGGGAACCUGCCCUUAGGUUCGGAAUAACAGUGAGAAAUCGCUGCUAAUGCCGGAUAAUGUCUUCGGACCAAAGAUUUAUCGCCUUUGGAUGGGCCCGCGUUGGAUUAGCUAGUUGGUGGGGUAAAGGCUCACCAAGGCGACGAUCCAUAGCUGGUCUUAGAGGAUGAUCAGCCACACUGGGACUGAGACACGGCCCAGACUCCUACGGGAGGCAGCAGUGGGGAAUAUUGGACAAUGGGCGAAAGCCUGAUCCAGCAAUGCCGCGUGAGUGAUGAAGGCCUUAGGGUUGUAAAGCUCUUUUACCAGGGAUGAUAAUGACAGUACCUGGAGAAUAAGCUCCGGCUAACUCCGUG